UGGGGAAUAUUGGGCAAUGGGGGAAACCCUGACCCAGCGACGCCGCGUGAGGGAAGAAGGUUUUCGGAUUGUAAACCUCUGUCCUUGGUGACGAUAAUGACGGUAGCCAAGGAGGAAGCCACGGCUAACUACGUGCCAGCAGCCGCGGUAAUACGUAGGUGGCGAGCGUUGUCCGGAAUUACUGGGUGUAAAGGGAGCGUAGGCGGGAGAGCAAGUCGACUGUGAAAGCUAUGGGCUUAACCCAUAGAUGCGAUCGAAACUGUUCAUCUUGAGUGAAGUAGAGGCAGGCGGAAUUCCUAGUGUAGCGGUGAAAUGCGUAAAUAUUAGGAGGAACACCAGUGGCGAAGGCGGCCUGCUGGGCCUUUAACUGACGCUGAGGCUCGAAAGCGUGGGUAGCAAACAGGAUUAGAUACCC
rnacentral:rRNA from 1 species